ensembl:lncRNA
GGCUAAGAAAAACUCCCUAAGAAGGCAAACAUUAGGAAGAAACCUAGAGAGGACCCAGGCUCAGAGUGGUGACCAGUCCACUUCUAGCUGGUUUAGGUCACACUCUCCCAGAUGGCUGGUAUAAGUCACACUGAUGGUAUUGAUGGCUGGUAUAUGACAAAGUCUGCUGGUAUUGAUGGCUGGUAUAGGUCACACUCUCAUGGUAUUGAUGGCUGGUAGAGGUCACACUCUCAUGGUAUUGAUGGCUGGUGUAGGUCACACUCUCAUGGUAUUGAUGGCUGAGUAGGUACUGAAGUCAGAGUUCUGGAUUUUAUUCUUCUUCUUUGGUCUCUUCUGUCCUUGACGGAUGUCCAAUGAGGCAUAACACAGGUCUUCUUCCUC